rnacentral:rRNA from 2 species
UCAAAUCAGGUAGGAUCACCCGCUGAACUUAA